AUCCAGCUGAUGAGUCCUGAAUGUGACGAGACGCGCGUCCUGGAU
rfam:Schistosoma haematobium scaffold1490_9, whole genome shotgun sequence.